UAUUGUGGAUGGAUAGUCAACAAAACGAAACGGGGGACCAUACCACCAACAGACCAUCUGUUUCUCCACAAGAUGACCUUCAUCAAGUAUAUAGCCAUGUUUCCUGAAGGACUGCUGAUAAUGGACCUCAAAGCAGUUUGAUGUGCAAACAGUGGAAUGCCCAUCAAGAAGACAAGCAAUUCAGGAGAUGUCAUAUUUGGUGAAGUUGAAAUGGACAAUGCAUCUAAUGAGGAACUUUUGGUUUGUUUGAAAAACUAUGAAGACAACAUUAAAGCAUAGCUCCUGUGAAGCAAGUCAGAUUAAAGCUAAGGAAUGAACCUUGGAUGGACUCAGAUAUUUUGCAGGCUAUAAAUGAAAGAGAUAGAGCUUUCCACACAUAUCAAGUUGACAAG